GCCAAUGUGGUGUAGUGGUUUGAGCAUGGGACUGUGACUCUGUGGACCAGGGUUCGAAUCCUGGCUCAGCCA